GUGAAUCCCUGGGCUCAACCGAGGAAGUGCACUUGAAACUACCAAGCUAGAGGACGGCAGAGGAUGGUGGAAUUCCUAGUGUAGAGGUGAAAUUCGUAGAUAUUAGGAGGAAUACCGGCGGCGAAGGCGGCCAUCUGGGCCGUUCCUGACACUGAGACGCGAAAGCGUGGGUAGCAAACAGGAUUAGAUACCCUGGUAGUCCACGCUGUAAACGAUGGGUACUAGGUGUUGCGGGAAUUGACCCCUGCAGUGCCAAGGGCGAAUUCCACAGUGGAUA
rnacentral:rRNA from 1 species